UUUCCUGUUUAGACUUUCACAGACUUUCAUUGUUUUCUUGCUGUUUCAUCUCAUUAGUUGGAAUUGUAAAUUAUGUGUGUUUUCUAGUGCCAUGAAAGUACAAUUCUUGAGAUAUUACAGGCUCUACCAUGGCCAGUAUUCCACAGUUCCACCUUUACCUUGCCUGUAUAACAACUGCAUGUGCACAUUUAGCACAUUUAAUUCGCUGAAGGUACUUUUGUUGAGAACACACUCUGGGAAAACGGUGGUAGGUAGAGACGGUCAUGAUUUGACUAUUGAUAAGGUGUUUCCCUGCCCUGUGUGUGAUUUAUAAGCAGCCGUUUGUUGAAAGGGACAUAUAUGUACAUCUAAGAGAGUAUUUAAGGCAGAAAGAAAUUAUGCUAUUCAUUUAGGGCUUGCAAGUUUAAAACAAAUGUUUACAAUACAUAUAAAGCACACAAAUGGAAACAGCAGUUGUAGUAAGAUAAGAUAAGAUAAUCCUUUAAUAGUCCCAUAACAGGGAAAUUGCAGUGUUACAGCAGCCAAAAGGAUACAGAGGGUGCAGAACAUGCAAAGAUAAGAGCAGGAUGUGCAUUCAAAAAGAAUAAAUACACAGGGAACAAGUACCUGCAGCUGUACACAGUACAGAAAGACUAUUUACACUGGAGUUCCUCAGGUUAUGCUUAGUGGAUGGAUGAAUUAUUGCACAGAUUUUGUUCAGGGACUAAAUAAGUAAAUACUAAUCCUUGUAGUAGUGUUUUACAUGAUUAAAGAUCAUUGCACAAUUAUGAUUACACAUGUAUUAUUGCACAGGUCUGGCGUGACCAUUUUGUCCAGUUAACGCAUUCAUCAGCUUUAAAAUGUCCAGUCUAUCAGCUGUGAAUGUUGUGGAGUCUGACAGUAGUGCAUGUGUGGUUUAUUGGCCGUUAGCUAACUGGCCAGUUAAGAACGACUCAGCCCUCCACUCUACUCAGAUGGCCCUUUUGUACAGUUCAGAUGAUGUAUGACACUUUGGAUAUGGAAAACUUUUUGCACCUCUCGUGAGUGGCCUACAAACUCAUGGAAACUCAUGGUAAAAAUAAAGAAAUAUGAAUGAAAUAAUAAAAA